YYYWGAUGUAAAGUAUWWAAAUUUGAGUAGUAUUAGUUAAGGUCUUGAAACUUAAAGAAUUUGGCGGUAUUUUAGUCCAUUUAGAGGAAUCUGUUCCGUAAUCGAUAAUCCGCGUUGGACCUUACUUAMAUUAAUUUAGUAUGUAUAUCGCUGUUGAUGAAUAUCUUUUUAGAGUGUAAUUUUUGUAAUUUUUAUGAAAMAAANUUUCAGGUCAAGGUGCAGCUAAUAUUUAAGUGGUGAUGGAUUACAAUAUUUUUAUGUAUAUGGAUUAUUGAUUGAUAUAAUUAGUAGGAAGGUGGAUUUAAUAGUAAUAUUUUAUAGAAGAUARRWGKGAYUGAAGGCUCUAUAMUAYGU
rnacentral:rRNA from 1 species